rnacentral:rRNA from 1 species
GACGAACGCUGGCGGCGUGCUUAACACAUGCAAGUCGAACGAAGAGCGAUGGAAGCUUGCUUCUAUCAAUCUUAGUGGCGAACGGGUGAGUAACGCGUAAUCAACCUGCCCUUCAGAGGGGGACAACAGUUGGAAACGACUGCUAAUACCGCAUACGAUCUAAUCUCGGCAUCGAGGAUAGAUGAAAGGUGGCCUCUACAUGUAAGCUAUCACUGAAGGAGGGGAUUGCGUCUGAUUAGCUAGUUGGAGGGGUAACGGCCCACCAAGGCGAUGAUCAGUAGCCGGUCUGAGAGGAUGAACGGCCACAUUGGGACUGAGACACGGCCCAGACUCCUACGGGAGGCAGCAGUGGGAAAUCUUCCGCAAUGGACGAAAGUCUGACGGAGCAACGCCGCGUGAGUGAUGACGGCCUUCGGGUUGUAAAGCUCUGUUAAUCGGGACGAAAGGCCUUCUUGCGAAUAGUGAGAAGGAUUGACGGUACCGGAAUAGAAAGCCACGGCUAACUACGUG